GCCUCCGCUCCCGGGCUAUGUUGCUGACCCAACCUGAAAUCCCUCUUUAGGUUGAGUCAGCAACAUAUCCCAUGACUUUUGGGU
rnacentral:miRNA from 1 species